rnacentral:tRNA from 1 species
GAGGGUAUAGCCCACCGGUAGAGCACAUGCUUAGCAUGCACGAGGCCCUGCGUUCAUUCCCCAGUACCUCCA